GAGGAGGUCCAAGGGCCCUGAAGCCAGGCGAGCUGGGAGCCAGAGUGUGCAGGACGGCCCCUCAGAGCGGAAGGGCCCGUGGCUGUUCCCACCCGCAGUGGGGUGGAGGCUCUGUUCCUUUGGGAAUGAAGUCUGAAGCCUUCGCAGAUGGUGUUUAUUGAUUAUUAACAGACAUGAGCUGUGGUAUCAAAAUGCUAAGUAUUCAGAGACUGCUGCAGAACGAAAUACUGUCCUUACAUGUCAGACCCUAGAGAGUGACAGGUCAGACUUCAGGCUGUGGAUGGAGGCUGCCCUUACAUACAGUGUGAAUUCAUUGGUUAGAUUUUCACCUUCAUCAUACAAGAGCCACAGAAAAACACCUUGAUAAUCUAGCUCAGCAACAAAUGCUCCCAGAAUUUACUUCUCCAGCUAUGACUUCUCUGGAGAUCUCUGGAUUCUGCUCUCAGAGGCACAACAUGCAGCUGGUCUUCUACCUUUGAACUGGUUAUGACUGUAUUCACAGUUGUUUUCUCAUACGAUGCUCACAUAGGCAGAGCAGGAGCUAAAUUGGGCUCCGGUAGGGUUUCCUCAUCCUGAGCCCGUUUUUUGUGCACACUGCAUUCAUAAAUAGCUUGUGAGGCUUCGGGCUUCUGAGGUCACCGUGCUUCACACAAUUGUUCUCUGCAGGGCUACGUGAAAGACAGUGGCUGGGCUGAGGUCUGGAGUUCCUGAAAGUUGGGUUUCUCAGCAUUGAAGGGCUAUCUCUUCUCAAACAAAAGCACAGCCAGGCUGUAGAGGGUGACCUCGGUCAUUGUUCUUGGGGCCUGUGACUUCACAAGUGGAGGUUACUCCUGAAAGUAACCAACCUCUAGGCUGAUACAGUCUUGCUCUCAGGACACUAUGUAAAUAACAAACUGAUAUCUGUAAUGGUAUAAAUGCUUUGUAAACUCUCCUCUGUAAAAAGAAAUGCAAAUGAAAGUAUUAUCUGAAUACUUUGCCCUCCCGCUUCCUGGAUACUCCUCAAGCUUAAUCCUAACAGACAUCACAGAGUGUGGGUAAAUGAAAUGUAGUGAUGCUCAGCCGUUAGUCAAUAAGAGGAAUACGUUUUGUAGGUGUGUGAAGAAGGUGAGAAAAUAGUCUAAUGUCUGGAAGUUGGAUGAGGAGGUCUGAGGAGGUAGUAUGGAGGAAAACAAGAAGAGUAUUGGGAGUUUCUUAUGUGUUGACAUGAACACAUUAUGUUGCCAUGCAGAUCUAGGAGAGAGCAUAGCAGCCACUAAGAGAUCACAGCUCAGUCUUUGCUGUCACACUGGAACAUUUUUGUCAAUUGACUUCUCUUACUCUGAAUGACUUACUACAAUAAAUAUAAAAUCCACCAAAAUUUCCUGAAACACUGAGAUAAUUUUCCAUUUAUUUCUAUGGAAGCUGUAA